GUGAUUUUUUGUCAGUUUAAAACCCCAGACCAGUAGGACACUACAUGAACUCUAAGAUGGCUGGAUGUGGUCAGGUAUUGCGGUCAAGUAUCUGAAGGUGCAGUGCACUUCAGUAGGAACAUAGCAGACGCACGAUGUGGGGCAGUCACCGCUCACAGGCAGCAGGAGAGCAGCCAAGAACAACAGCGUGUCCAUCAGCCUCCUCCGCAGAAACAUGGAAAAGUGGACAAGGACAGUGGUGACAAUCACAGACGACUGCUUCCAGCAAAGAUGAUGCGAAGAUGCCAAUGAAAUGUUGCCCAGAGAGAGGAGGGCACGAGGAGGUUAGCAAAGAAGAGGAUUGUUGGACUGUCUACAA